rnacentral:misc_RNA from 1 species
UCCGAGUUGACCCCGGCAGUCUCCCAAGAGUCCCCACCAUAACGUGCUGGCAACAUGGGACAGGGGUUGCGCUCGUUGCGGGACUUAACCCAACAUCUCACGACACGAGCUGAGGACAGCCAUGCACCACCUGUGUAUGACCCCGAAGGACACCGUAUCUCUACGGCUUUUCCAUACAUGUCAAACCCAGGUAAGGUUCUUCGCGUUGCCUCGAAUUAAGCAACAUGCUCCGCCGCUUGUGCGAGCCCCCGUCAAUUCCUUUGAGUUUUAGCCUUGCGGCCGUACUCCCCAGGCGGGGCACUUAAUGCGUUAGCUACGGCACGGAACCCGUUGAAAAGGCCCCACACCUAGUGCCCAACGUUUACGGCAUGGACUAC